AUGAUAUGAUUGUUGCAUAGUUCAUCAGAUUAAAUCAUGAAGACAUUUUUCAUUAUCUGCUGUAUCU
ensembl:snoRNA